CAUGGACUGAAACUGUGAGCCAAAACAUUAAAGGUGGAAAUGAAUCUGCUGAUUUCUGCUCAGCCGCUGAGCAGCAGCACCUGCAGGCCUGAUUAACAGCAGGUCCUGCCAGCUCUGAGGGAGAUCUCUGACUAGUUUCCUUCAGUCCUGUGGGGGGGACGCGGAUGGAAAGCGAGCUGACCAAGAAGGCGUUUGGGGAACGUGGAAGAACACUGAAAGAUUCCCGGAAGGACGAUGACCUGGUGUAGGCUGCAUGUGCGAGGGCGGUGGCCGAGAGCGCCCCUUAUCCACCUGCCAGCAGCACCAGGAGAGAAGCAGCGAUGCACAUCGAUCGGUGAGGUGGGGCAGGGAGCCCACUAUGAAGGAGAGCUGAUAACUACGGCACCUGAGAGAAUCAAAGCAGCUCGAGCCACACAUGCAAUGUCG
rnacentral:lncRNA from 1 species